UGAGUCACCACAACCCCUCAGUUAUUGCCUCCCCUAUAUCCCAAACACAAAAAAUAUAUUACUGGUAAUUCCUUCAAUGCCUCCACCAUCAUGUUCCUUUAGCUGCCAUCAAUUUUUUCCCUAUCAAGCACACGAAUGGAAUAGAAGUAUGGACAGAUUUUUAAAAAAUUAAGUUCGGGAUUAAGACCCACGAGAUCGAGGAAUACUAAUUUGGUAACAAGAUGUGGCUCUGCGCCUCGAGAAGCUUCAAUUGGUAUCUGGGCCUCCAGAAAUACAGCUUGGCAAGUGGAAAAACAAGAUCUCUGUUCCAAUCUGCAAAUGUUGUUGAAAGGCAGAAUUUGGAAG